rnacentral:rRNA from 1 species
AUUGAACGCUGGCGGCAUGCUUUACACAUGCAAGUCGAACGGCAGCGCGGUCUUCGGCCUUGCGGCGAGUGGCGAAUGGGUGAGUAAUGCAUCGGAACGUGCCCAGUAUUGGGGGAUAGCCCGGCGAAAGCCGGAUUAAUACCGCAGACGACCUGAGGGUGAAAGCGGGGGGCCGAAAGGCCUCGCGCUAUUGGAGCGGCCGAUGUCGGAUUAGCUAGUUGGUGGGGUAAAGGCUUACCAAGGCGACGAUCCGUAGCUGGUCUGAGAGGACGACCAGCCACACUGGGACUGAGACACGGCCCAGACUCCUACGGGAGGCAGCAGUGGGGAAUUUUGGACAAUGGGGGCAACCCUGAUCCAGCCAUGCCGCGUGCGGGAAGAAGGCCUUCGGGUUGUAAACCGCUUUUGUUCGGGAAGAAAUCCUCUGGGCUAAUACCCAGGGGGGAUGACGGUACCGGAAGAAUAAGCACCGGCUAACUACGUG